rnacentral:rRNA from 1 species
UACGAAGGGGGCUAGCGUUGCUCGGAAUUACUGGGCGUAAAGCGCACGUAGGCGGCUCUUUAAGUCGGGGGUGAAAUCCUGGAGCUCAACUCCAGAACUGCCUUCGAUACUGAAGAGCUCGAGUCCGGGAGAGGUGAGUGGAACUGCGAGUGUAGAGGUGAAAUUCGUAGAUAUUCGCAAGAACACCAGUGGCGAAGGCGGCUCACUGGCCCGGUACUGACGCUGAGACGCGAAAGCGCGGGGAGCGAACGGG